rnacentral:rRNA from 1 species
UACGUAGGUCCCGAGCGUUGUCCGGGUUUAUUGGGUUUAAAGGGUGCGUAGGCGGACGCUUAAGUCAGCGGUAAAAUUGCGGGGCUCAACCUCGUCGAGCCGUUGAAACUGGGUGCCUUGAGUGGGCGAGAAGUACGCGGAAUGCGUGGUGUAGCGGUGAAAUGCAUAGAUAUCACGCAGAACUCCGAUUGCGAAGGCAGCGUACCGGCGCCCAACUGACGCUGAAGCACGAAAGCGUGGGGAGCAAACAGG